rnacentral:lncRNA from 1 species
AUGACUAAAAGUAAUGAGACUAAAACUUGCUAGCCUCACCCAUGCUUGGAUCCAAAUACUAAAAAGACUAAAAUCAAGUUAAUGAGCAUUUAUUAUCUUCCAAACCCUCCAAUCCAGAACUUGCAUGAGGAGUUAAAUGAGGAGAGAGAGGACUAAUGCACAUUUUAGUAGGGGUACCCCUGACUAAAAGAUUUUAGCCUCAAGACUAGUUUUAGCCUCUCUUUA